CAAAAUGAUGUAAUUUAUUGGACAAGCAUAAAUCAAAAAGAAAAGCAAUCAAAGGGAGUCAUGUAAUAACAUUAGACAUGGCAAAACAAUUGAGAAUUAAUUUUCCAAAUGUUGUGCCUGGAUAUCAACUUUGUCGGAGCUGCUUUGAUGCUAUAAUCAGUAAAUUUCAUGAACAAGAUAAUUGUGAAUUUGA